GCUACAGGCUUAACACAUGCAAGUCGAGGGGCAGCAUGGUCUUAGCUUGCUAAGGCCGAUGGCGACCGGCGCACGGGUGAGUAACACGUAUCCAACCUGCCGUCUACUCUUGGACAGCCUUCUGAAAGGAAGAUUAAUACAAGAUGGCAUCAUGAGUCCGCAUGUUCACAUGAUUAAAGGUAUUCCGGUAGACGAUGGGGAUGCGUUCCAUUAGAUAGUAGGCGGGGUAACGGCCCACCUAGUCUUCGAUGGAUAGGGGUUCUGAGAGGAAGGUCCCCCACAUUGGAACUGAGACACGGUCCAAACUCCUACGGGAGGCAGCAGUGAGGAAUAUUGGUCAAUGGGCGAGAGCCUGAACCAGCCAAGUAGCGUGAAGGAUGACUGCCCUAUGGGUUGUAAACUUCUUUUAUAAAGGAAUAAAGUCGGGUAUGGAUACCCGUUUGCAUGUACUUUAUGAAUAAGGAUCGGCUAACUCCGUGCCAGCAGCCGCGGUAAUACGGAGGAUCCGAGCGUUAUCCGGAUUUAUUGGGUUUAAAGGGAGCGUAGAUGGAUGUUUAAGUCAGUUGUGAAAGUUUGCGGCUCAACCGUAAAAUUGCAGUUGAUACUGGAUAUCUUGAGUGCAGUUGAGGCAGGCGGAAUUCGUGGUGUAGCGGUGAAAUGCUUAGAUAUCACGAAGAACUCCGAUUGCGAAGGCAGCCUGCUAAGCUGCAACUGACAUUGAGGCUCGAAAGUGUGGGUAUCAAACAGGAUUAGAUACCCUGGUAGUCCACACGGUAAACGAUGAAUACUCGCUGUUUGCGAUAUACUGCAAGCGGCCAAGCGAAAGCGUUAAGUAUUCCACCUGGGGAGUACGCCGGCAACGGUGAAACUCAAAGGAAUUGACGGGGGCCCGCACAAGCGGAGGAACAUGUGGUUUAAUUCGAUGAUACGCGAGGAACCUUACCCGGGCUUAAAUUGCAGAUGAAUUACGGUGAAAGCCGUAAGCCGCAAGGCAUCUGUGAAGGUGCUGCAUGGUUGUCGUCAGCUCGUGCCGUGAGGUGUCGGCUUAAGUGCCAUAACGAGCGCAACCCUUGUUGUCAGUUACUAACAGGUUCCGCUGAGGACUCUGACAAGACUGCCAUCGUAAGAUGUGAGGAAGGUGGGGAUGACGUCAAAUCAGCACGGCCCUUACGUCCGGGGCUACACACGUGUUACAAUGGGGGGUACAGAGGGUCGCUACCACGCGAGUGGGUGCCAAUCCCCAAAACCUCUCUCAGUUCGGACUGGAGUCUGCAACCCGACUCCACGAAGCUGGAUUCGCUAGUAAUCGCGCAUCAGCCACGGCGCGGUGAAUACGUUCCCGGGCCUUGUACACACCGCCCGUCAAGCCAUGGGAGCCGGGGGUACCUGAAGUGCGUAACCGCGAGGAGCGCCCUAGGGUAAAACUGGUGACUGGGGCU
rnacentral:rRNA from 1 species